CUACGGGGUGCAGCAGUGGGGAAUCUUAGACAAUGGGGGAAACCCUGAUCUAGCCAUGCCGCGUGAGCGACGACGGCCCUAGGGUUGUAAAGCUCUUUCAGCAGGGAAGAUAAUGACGGUACCUGCAGAAGAAGUCCCGGCUAACUCCGUGCCAGCAGCCGCGGUAAUACGGAGGGGACUAGCGUUGUUCGGAAUUACUGGGCGUAAAGCGCGCGUAGGCGGAUUGUUAAGUCGGGGGUGAAAUCCCGGGGCUCAACCCCGGAACUGCCCUCGAUACUGGCAGUCUUGAGUUCGAGAGAGGUGAGUGGAAUUCCGAGUGUAGAGGUGAAAUUCGUAGAUAUUCGGAGGAACACCAGUGGCGAAGGCGGCUCACUGGCUCGAUACUGACGCUGAGGUGCGAAAGCGUGGGGAGCAAACAGGAUUAGAUACCCGGGUAGUC
rnacentral:rRNA from 1 species